CCGGCGACCGGCGCACGGGUGAGUAACACGUAUGCAACCUGGCCGUGACAGAUGGAUAACCGGGAGAAAUCCCGCCUAAUACAACAUAAUGCCGGGAGGGGACAUCCCCUGCCGGUCAAAGGGGGCGACCCCGGUCACGGAUGGGCAUGCGGCGCAUUAGGUAGUUGGUGGGGCAACGGCCCACCAAGCCGACGAUGCGUAGGGGUUCUGAGAGGAAGGUCCCCCACAUUGGAACUGAGACACGGACCAGACUCCUACGGGAGGCAGCAG
rnacentral:rRNA from 1 species